UAGGGAAUCUUCCGCAAUGGGCGAAAGCUUGCCGGAGCAACGCCGCGUGAGUGAUGAAGGUCUUCGGAUCGUAAAACUCUGUUAUUAGGGAAGAACAAAUGUGUAAGUAACUAUGCACGUCUUGACGGUACCUAAUCAGAAAGCCACGGCUAACUACGUGCCAGCAGCCGCGGUAAUACGUAUGGUGCGAGCGUUGUCCGGAAUUAUUGGGCGUAAAGGGUACGUAGGCGGUUUGCCAAGUCAGAUGUUAAAACUUGAGGCUUAACCUCAUGUUGCAUUUGAAACUGUCAAACUUGAGUAGUGGAGAGGAAAGUGGAAUUCCUAGUGUAGCGGUGAAAUGCGUAGAUAUUAGGAGGAAUACCAGUAGCGAAGGCGACUUUCUGGACACAAACUGACGCUGAGGUACGAAAGCGUGGGGAGCAAACAGG
rnacentral:rRNA from 1 species